AGCGUACACGGUGGAUGCCCUGGCAGUCAGAGGCGAUGAAGGACGUGCUAAUCUGCGAUAAGCGUCGGUAAGGUGAUAUGAACCGUUAUAACCGGCGAUUUCCGAAUGGGGAAACCCAGUGUGUUUCGACACACUAUCAUUAACUGAAUCCAUAGGUUAAUGAGGCGAACCGGGGGAACUGAAACAUCUAAGUACCCCGAGGAAAAGAAAUCAACCGAGAUUCCCCCAGUAGCGGCGAGCGAACGGGGAGCAGCCCAGAGCCUGAAUCAGUGUGUGUGUUAGUGGAAGCGUCUGGAAAGGCGCGCGAUACAGGGUGACAGCCCCGUACACAAAAAUGCACAUACUGUGAGCUCGAUGAGUAGGGCGGGACACGUGGUAUCCUGUCUGAAUAUGGGGGGACCAUCCUCCAAGGCUAAAUACUCCUGACUGACCGAUAGUGAACCAGUACCGUGAGGGAAAGGCGAAAAGAACCCCGGCGAGGGGAGUGAAAAAGAACCUGAAACCGUGUACGUACAAGCAGUGGGAGCCUCUUAAUGGGGUGACUGCGUACCUUUUGUAUAAUGGGUCAGCGACUUAUAUUCUGUAGCAAGGUUAACCGAAUAGGGGAGCCGAAGGGAAACCGAGUCUUAACUGGGCGUUAAGUUGCAGGGUAUAGACCCGAAACCCGGUGAUCUAGCCAUGGGCAGGUUGAAGGUUGGGUAACACUAACUGGAGGACCGAACCGACUAAUGUUGAAAAAUUAGCGGAUGACUUGUGGCUGGGGGUGAAAGGCCAAUCAAACCGGGAGAUAGCUGGUUCUCCCCGAAAGCUAUUUAGGUAGCGCCUCGUGAAUUCAUCUCCGGGGGUAGAGCACUGUUUCGGCAAGGGGGUCAUCCCGACUUACCAACCCGAUGCAAACUGCGAAUACCGGAGAAUGUUAUCACGGGAGACACACGGCGGGUGCUAACGUCCGUCGUGAAGAGGGAAACAACCCAGACCGCCAGCUAAGGUCCCAAAGUCAUGGUUAAGUGGGAAACGAUGUGGGAAGGCCCAGACAGCCAGGAUGUUGGCUUAGAAGCAGCCAUCAUUUAAAGAAAGCGUAAUAGCUCACUGGUCGAGUCGGCCUGCGCGGAAGAUGUAACGGGGCUAAACCAUGCACCGAAGCUGCGGCAGCGACGCUUAUGCGUUGUUGGGUAGGGGAGCGUUCUGUAAGCCUGCGAAGGUGUACUGUGAGGUAUGCUGGAGGUAUCAGAAGUGCGAAUGCUGACAUAAGUAACGAUAAAGCGGGUGAAAAGCCCGCUCGCCGGAAGACCAAGGGUUCCUGUCCAACGUUAAUCGGGGCAGGGUGAGUCGACCCCUAAGGCGAGGCCGAAAGGCGUAGUCGAUGGGAAACAGGUUAAUAUUCCUGUACUUGGUGUUACUGCGAAGGGGGGACGGAGAAGGCUAUGUUGGCCGGGCGACGGUUGUCCCGGUUUAAGCGUGUAGGCUGGUUUUCCAGGCAAAUCCGGAAAACUAAGGCUGAGGCGUGAUGACGAGGCACUACGGUGCUGAAGCAACAAAUGCCCUGCUUCCAGGAAAAGCCUCUAAGCAUCAGGUAACAUUAAAUCGUACCCCAAACCGACACAGGUGGUCAGGUAGAGAAUACCAAGGCGCUUGAGAGAACUCGGGUGAAGGAACUAGGCAAAAUGGUGCCGUAACUUCGGGAGAAGGCACGCUGAUAUGUAGGUGAAGCGACUUGCUCGUGGAGCUGAAAUCAGUCGAAGAUACCAGCUGGCUGCAACUGUUUAUUAAAAACACAGCACUGUGCAAACACGAAAGUGGACGUAUACGGUGUGACGCCUGCCCGGUGCCGGAAGGUUAAUUGAUGGGGUUAGCGGUAACGCGAAGCUCUUGAUCGAAGCCCCGGUAAACGGCGGCCGUAACUAUAACGGUCCUAAGGUAGCGAAAUUCCUUGUCGGGUAAGUUCCGACCUGCACGAAUGGCGUAAUGAUGGCCAGGCUGUCUCCACCCGAGACUCAGUGAAAUUGAACUCGCUGUGAAGAUGCAGUGUACCCGCGGCAAGACGGAAAGACCCCGUGAACCUUUACUAUAGCUUGACACUGAACAUUGA
rnacentral:rRNA from 1 species